CAGCCGCCGCGGUAAAACGGAGGGUGCAAGCGUUAUCCGGAUUCACUGGGUUUAAAGGGUGCGUAGGCGGGCAGGUAAGUCAGUGGUGAAAUCUUCGAGCUUAACUCGGAAACUGCCGUUGAUACUAUCUGUCUUGAAUAACGUUGAGGUGAGCGGAAUAUGUCAUGUAGCGGUGAAAUGCUUAGAUAUGACAUAGAACACCGAUUGCGAAGGCAGCUCACUAAACGCUCAUUGACGCUGAGGCACGAAAGCGUGGGGAUCAAACAGGAUUAGAGACCCGAGUAGUCCCUGUCUCUUAUAA
rnacentral:rRNA from 1 species